rnacentral:lncRNA from 1 species
AUUACAACAAUGGAAGCUUUAAAAAUUGAAAGAAAAAAGACUAUGAUGAAUGUCGUUAAUGACAAUGAACCAUCGUCACUCCCACCAUCAUGGAAAUGGUGUGCACGAUACGCUGUCCAAGUUCAAAUGAGUUCCACCCAAUCAGCCAACUAUACCCAUAGUAUAACCAGGAACAGUAUUUUACCACUUGCACCCGGGGGCUGCUUGGAUGCCUCCAACGUAGUGUGGUUGCCUAUAGUCCUUAUGUUGCGCAUUGGAUGUAUAUGUGUUGAUGGUGAUGCUUGUUUGCGUAAAUUCUGUCC